rnacentral:rRNA from 1 species
UAAUACGUACCGUACGAACGUUAUUCGGAAUCACUGGGCUUAAAGAGUCCGUAGGCGGCCUUAAAGGUGAGGUGUGAAAUCCCACGGCUUAACCGUGGAACUGCGCUUCAAACCAUAAGGCUUGAGGGAGAUAGAGGAAAGCGGAACUGAUGGUGGAGCGGUGAAAUGCGUUGAUAUCAUCAGGAACACCGGUGGCGAAAGCGGCUUUCUGGGUCUCUUCUGACGCUGAGGGACGAAAGCUAGGGGAGCGAACGGGAUUAGAUACCCCGGUAGUCCUAGCUGUAAACGAUGAGCACUAGUUCGAGGGGACCCCCACAUCCUCUUGGACGUAGCGAAAGUGUUAAGUGCUCCGCCUGGGGAGUAUGGUCGCAAGGCUG